CCCUUAGAUGUCCGGGGCUGCACGCGCGCUACACUGAAGGAAUCAGCGUGCUAAAACCAUUGUCGAAAGGCAUUGGUAAACCCAUUAAAAUCCUACGUGAUUGGGAUCGGGAAUUGCAAUUAUUUCCCUUGAACGAGGAAUUCCCAGUAAGUGUGGGUCAUAAGCUCGCGUUGAUUACGUCCCUGCCCUUUGUACACACCGCCCGUCGCUGCCCGGGACUGAGCCGUUUCGAGAAAAGCGGGGACUGCUGCUGUCGGGGCUUUCGGGCCUUGGCUUCGGUGGAAACCGCUUUAAUCGCAGUGGCGUGAACCGGGCAAAAGUCGUAACA
rnacentral:rRNA from 1 species